UAAGCUAACAAGCAGCCCCAAACUGCUUAGUCAUCAGAGUAUUUUGUUUCUGGCAUGGUUCAAAAGCAAAAUAGUUUUAAUGAUGAAAAGCCAUUCCUGCCAGAAGUAUUUACUCUGUCUUUAGCCAAGACAUGAACAAUGGCAUUGAUUUGUUUCAGCCAUGGCCAUUCCAAUCAAGCCAAAAAUUUAGAACUGUACUUUUUGCAUGUCAUGAAUACAUCACACUGAUUAAACAUCUGAGCAUCAAAGAGGAAAAGCAUGAAAUGGGAUGGGAUGACAUCUCAAACAAGUAUAUGUAUACACUGUAAAUAUAAUGAUUAUAUGAGUUACUAUAUCCUUCCUGGAUCUGGCCAUUUUCCCUUGACCUUUCUCAUCAACAAGACGUUUCCACCCACAGAACUGUAGGUGUACAGGUGUUCCGAAUAAAUCGGGUGGACGGUGAGUGUAUAUCGCAUUUUUGUUGAAUUGUUGUGCGCGUGUGUGUGUGUGUGUGUUGGGGGAGGGGUUUUAACUGAAGCUUUUAUUAUGAAGUAUUUAUUAUAAUACAAAAAAAGGUUAGAGUUAGGUGUAGGCAUAACAUCAUUAGUUGCUUUAAUUAAUUGUUACGUUAAUGAAAUUUGCACACAAGGGUAGUAAGACAAGUGUGUGUGUGUGUGUGUGUGUGUCUUUUCCCUACACUUUUUUUUGCUCUUGUUUCAGAAUAUUGUGCUCAGAUUCUCAAGUGACUGGCACACAUGAUUAUAUUCUAAUGUUAGAAGCCUAAUCCAUUUCCCUCCUGACCUCAGGUAGUGCUUUAUUUUCUCUCGCUGAUGAGGCCCCUGUCGGCUGUCGUCCCCUGCACCUGCUCCCAUGCCGUGAGAAACACCUGACUCAAAAUUCCUCUUCCCAUGGAGGCAUCAGUUGCCUGACAGCAGGCAUCAGAAUGCAUUAUGUCUGAAUUCACAAAGAUUGGGAGAAGGGGAGGAGGACCUUCUGUUUUCUGCCCAGUGCUGUCAGAAUAAAGAGGGAUUUCUGCAAGCUCUUCCAGUUUGAGAUGUAUUUAAGUAUCAAAACUCAGCCAUAACUCUCCUUUGUGCCCUAAUGUUCUCCCUAUUCCUCACAGUCUCCUAAUAAAAAAUGAGUUGCAAUGAAAUGGACUAACAUCUAAAGACAAGAGACCGACACCUCAGCAUGUCAUCAUUUUUUAGGGACGUAAAUGACUGAAUAGCACUUAAUUUUCAUUUUGGUAAUAUACAGGAAUUUGUAAAGUUGUUCUGAGGCAUUCUAUAAUUAAGAUUAUAUUUGGCAUUUGCAAAAAAAAGUCAAUAUUUGCAAACCGAAUGCAUAUAUGCUAUCACACAGCACUUCUAAAAUUUAAUAUACUGACUAUUUGCCAAGCUCAAUGAAUAAUAAUUUUGGAUAUUUGACAAGAGAUAUGUUCACUGCCUUGUAAGCUAUGUUAUGAACAUAGUCAUUUUUCAAAGAAAAGUUGCUAUUCUUAUAGGUUAUGUAUCCAUUUAUCAACACUAAUGAUAGUGUAGUAAUUACUAUUUGUAUUAAAACUUUUUGUAGUUAUAUUAUUUUUACUAUUAGAGUAGCAUGCAAUGGUCAUCACAACUGAAGAACAAUGGUCUAUCAAGCA
ensembl:lncRNA